UCAGCAUCGCGGUUUUCCAUCAGGGAUGCAACUGGUCGGAGGGAUCAGGUUCUCCGGAGUUUAGCACACCCGCACCAACGCUUUUCGCCGAACACUGCAGCGUACGGAUGCAUUCGAAACCGGGAUGCGCAAUCGAGUAUGGGAGGGCACUUCACUUCUGGCGCCGUCCAUGAGACGCUCUGACAACAUAAGGGUGUCGUGGUGGAGAUUGGUAGAGAUGGGUGGAGGCAUCGCCAGGCCCACGCCCUUGCAGCAAGUGGGUGCCGCGGCUGCACCGAGCCGUGAUUCCAGCGCGACAUUCAAUAUUCAGUCCAUCGUCGUGAAGCUGUUCCACACCUCACCCCCAUCUUCAGUUCUGGACUGAUUGCGAUGGCCUCUGAUUUUGGAAGGAGAACCGUUGGCCCGAGGAACCCCCUGGCGGUGGUGUGCACAAGCUGGUUAGCCAUGGUGGUGGGGUGUUGUUAGGAUGGCGCUGCCUGGUCGCGCGUCUCCUCAGGCCGCGAGGGUGGUGCCAGUGGUCUGACAAAAUCGAUGCCCCACUUUUCGAAAGGUGUAAGAGCCAGAAUUGGCAUGGCCUAAGACCUUGUUGGCUUGCUUACUCGUUGACAAGAGUUACACAGUCUGGGAAAGCUAUGGGUUUGGGUUUAAACAAGAUGGACCACCAAUAACCUGCUAGUAUUACUUUGCAGGCGGUUAAAUAACCCUCGAAAUGUCCACUGCAACAAUUCAGAUGGUAUAAAAAUGAGAAGAAUAACAUUGAGUUUGAUGUUUAAAAUUUUCUUACUAAUAAUUGCUAAGUAUAAUACAAAAUAUAUUCUUCGAGGAGGACGACCUCACUGGUAGUAACUCCUUGAGGAGGUGCAAGAAGGCACAACUGUUCUAGAUCUAUUAUAGUUAUGCAUGACAACUAAUUAUAACAUUCUCUAUUUAUUCUAACACAUUUGCUUAGUUGUUACGCAUAGUCGAUCAUGGUUCAUUUCCAACAAUACCCAGUGAUGGUAAGUGUUGAGUUAUUUCAGACCAAAGAGUGCUUUGGUGAGAAGGUCUGUACGCAUUGUUGCAGUAGGACAAUACUGGAAGGAGAACUUCUUGAGGGCAGACAGUUGCCAAAUGAAAUGAUAUUUCAUGACUAUAUGUUCAGUUUGGUUGUGAAACUUGGUGUGGUGUUGACGAGUGCCAAUGCCGAUAGAUUGUCACAAAGAAUUAUUGGUAAAGCAUUAAGGUCUUGAUAUAAAUCAUAAAAAGAUGAAGCCAUACUACCUAGGAGGUGGCGAUGGCCACAACCAUGUACUCUACUUUUGUGCUUGAUAGGGCAAUCAAUUUUUGGCAUGACAAUCUUCAACUUA